rnacentral:rRNA from 1 species
GACGAACGCUGGCGGCGUGCUUAACACAUGCAAGUCGAACGAAAAGGCCCUGCUUUUGUGCGUUUCUCGAUUGGCGCACGGGUGAGUAACACGUGUGUAACCUGCCCUUGACUUUGUGAUAACUUCAGGAAACUGGGGCUAAUACCGGAUAUGAGCUCCUGCUGCAUGUUGGGGGUUGGAAAGUUUCGGCGGUUGUGGAUGGACUCGCUGCUUAUCCGCUUGUUGGUGGGGUAGUGGCUUACCAAGGCUUUGACGGGUAGCCGGCCUGAGAGGGUGACCGGGGACAUGGGGACUGAGAGACGGCCCAGAAGGCUACGGGAGGCAGCAGGGGGGAAUAUGGCACAAUGGGCGGAAGUCAGAGGCAGAAACGCCGCGUGCGGGAUGACGGCCUUCGGGUGGUAAACCGAUGUCGACUGUGACGAAGAGGGAGUGACGGUAAUGGGUAAAGAAGCACCGGCUAACUACGUG